rnacentral:snRNA from 1 species
GUGCUCGCUUUGGCAGCAUAUAUACUAAAAUUGGAAUGAUGCAGAGAAGAUUAGCAUGGCCCCUCUACAAGGAUGACAGGCAAAUUUGUGAAACAUUCCAUAUUUUU